ensembl:Y_RNA Y_RNA Y RNA
GGCUGGUCCGAGUGCAGUGGUGUUUACAACUAAUUGAUCACAACCAGUUACAGAUUCCUUCGUUCCUUCUCCACUCCCACUGCUUCACUUGACUAGCCUGAA